AACCAGGUCAAACCUGUUAAAAGAUCUAAGUUUUCUGUUAGUGAACCUCCAUCAAUUAUUGCCUUAAAAAAACAUUAAACAGUGGUUUAUUUCGCAAAAAUAUAUCCUGACAAAGUCAUGAAUAGUAAUUACAAGUGGAACCGUGAUGUGAAGUUGGUGGAAGGCGUUUGAUGCAAAGCAAAAAAAGGAAGCAUAGUUUGGUUUAGGUUACAUCUCGAGAGCCCAGCGGAAUGACCAAGUCCCUAAAGUUCGUAGACGUCUCGUCCGUUGGGUCUGGAAACAGCAGGACGGCAGGAAGCUGGACUGGUUGCAUAGGAGUGGAUAAUAUGGACUCUCAGCCUAACAUCGCCAGAGGAUCGACCAGCAUCGCCUCGGGUUCUCCUUGAGAAACUUACCGUCGUUUUGCAGCAGCAAUAGUGGAAGAGCUUGACAUAAGCUGUCCGAAAGUGACGGUCCGCUACGCAGUAAAGAAGAUUAUUGACACAGGACUUUGAGAGAGCAAACCAGGCUAGAAUGAUGAAAACGCUGGGUUUGACUGGUCGGACGGAACUCAUGCAUAGCGCUACACCUAGGGGAAUCCAGAAUAUAGCAAAGAGUAAAAAACUGUAGAUGUUCGUCUUGGUGAGCUCGUAGUCCCAGGAGAAGGCAACUGGGGGUUUGUAUGAUCCUCUCGUAACUCGACGAACUCGAGCUACCAGUAGAAUGUAAACGAAGAUCGUCAGAAGAACUGGAAGUCCCACCAGAAUGCUGGCACCUACAGCUUGUUCCAUCGCGAUUCCAUCGAAGCGUUUUCUGCAAAUAUCUGGACCCAGAUCAAUAGAUGAUUGAAGACCCACUAUUAUCAUGGCUGCAACCCACACCACCAGGAUCGAGCCUGUCACUCUUCUUUGCGUUAUUAUUGCAUAUCUGUGGACAAAUAAGUAGAGUUUUAAAGUAUGACCAAUCUACGACUUGUCCUCACACCUGCUUCAGGAAGAGAUAGUACGCACGGUUCACCCUUUGUUGAUCCCGUUGGAACUUUUAGUACAUUAUGAAACUAUGAAUACCUGAGAUUGAGAGUUUCUGAGUAUAGUUCGGUUUAGGGAAUUCAAAGAUAUUAUUCAUGGUUCGUAAAUAUGGUGGUUUUCUUCAAAACUAGGUUAGUAAUAAUUCAUGACAUAAAUUACUUAAUGGAUAUAGGUCUUCCGAGUAAGAAAAAGACUAGAGGGGUACCAGUGCGCUGGUGGCGGUUCUACCUGCCGUUACUGUAAGUAUAAGGGUAAAGAAAGGGUCAGACUACGUACGAUCCCUUCCUGAAUCAGGUAUAAAAACCAGUCGUGGAUCGCCCGUAAUGUGUCUGGAAAAAAUGUUGGCUAAAAGAAAAGUUACAUGAAAAUUUGAAAAUUUUUCAAAACUUCCAAAAUUGGUUCAAAAAUUUAUAAUGAAAUACGUCUUUAGUGAACCAUGUAUUUAAACACGUAAGUAUUGUUUUAACAGUUUAAAAUUAUUUAAAGAUAAUAUAACAUUGUUUACAUUCAUUAUAAGACUCACAAAAUCUAUGAUAUAUAAGAAAGAGUAGGAUAUGGUGCCGGGCUUUAAAUUAAGUGUUCUGUAAAUUAUAAUUGAAAUGUGAUUUUGAUGUGUGUAUUUUUUUUGUUGAGAACCUCAUAUUAUCCGGUUACAUAUGUCAUUACUCAAACCCGUUUCUUAACUACGUCAUUAUUUGAUAUUAAAUUUACUCCAUUAGUCUUGCAUUUCGGUUAGCGUACCCCAUACCAUGCGGCAUGAUGUCCCUCAUAUUACUUCUAAUUUAUUUGAAUAAUAUGAGCAUUGUUGAAAAUAAAGUGUACAAUAUAAUAAUUCUUGGGAGUAUAAUGUAUCGAAGAAAAAUUAUUCGAGACAUGAUCCACACGAAAGAAAUGAUUCCUCACCAAUCAAAGUAAAGUAUAUCGUAGAACCUAGUUAUAAGGGAUCGUCCAUAUAUUACGUAACACUUUUUUCUUUUGUUUAUAUCGUUGUGUCUUUC